GAAGUAAAAAUCGUAACAAGGUCUCCGUUGGUGAACCAGCGGAGGGAUCAUUACCGAGUUUACAACUCCCAAACCCAAUGUGAACGUUACCAAACUGUUGCCUCGGCGGGGUCACGCCCCGGGUGCGUCGCAGCCCCGGAACCAGGCGCCCGCCGGAGGAACCAACCAAACUCUUUCUGUAGUCCCCUCGCGGACGUAUUUCUUACAGCUCUGAGCAAAAAUUCAAAAUGAAUCAAAACUUUCAACAACGGAUCUCUUGGUUCUGGCAUCGAUGAAGAACGCAGCGAAAUGCGAUAAGUAAUGUGAAUUGCAGAAUUCAGUGAAUCAUCGAAUCUUUGAACGCACAUUGCGCCCGCCAGUAUUCUGGCGGGCAUGCCUGUCCGAGCGUCAUUUCAACCCUCGAACCCCUCCGGGGGAUCGGCGUUGGGGAUCGGGACCCCUCACACGGGUGCCGGCCCCGAAAUACAGUGGCGGUCUCGCCGCAGCCUCUCCUGCGCAGUAGUUUGCACAACUCGCACCGGAGCGCGGCGCGUCCACGUCCGUAAAACACCCAACUUUCUGAAAUGUUGACCUCGGAUCAGGUAGGAAUACCCGCUGAACUUAAGCAUAUCAAACUUAAGCAUAUCAAUAAGGCGGAGGAA
rnacentral:rRNA from 1 species